GAUUCGAAUUUAGCUUUGGCUUCUAAUUGGUUCUAAUUUAGAAAGGUACAGGGGGAGGGUUGGUUUCAAUCCCUGUAAGACCGAAUCGAUCUCUCUUGUGUUUAUGAAAUCAGAGUUAUCCAUCUCUUCUGGUUUCAAUCUCUGUAAGACCGAAUCGAUCUCUCUUGUCUAUCUGAAAUCAGAGUUAUCCAUCUCUUCUUCACGGUGUUCUUCCUGUAAGGAGUCCUUGAAAGCAACGAUUGAGAGUGUAUUUCACUGACUGCUCUGAAUCGCGAGACCACAAAAUCGAACGAAGACAGGUCUUCAUUGGCCGUCGAAUCUGCUGGGCAAAACCCUAGAUCUGAGUUGAUCUGUUUUCGAUCGGCCUCAGCAUUCUGAAUAUUGGAUCCAUUGGAUCGGAGACCAUGCCAGUGGCUGCUUCCGCCAUAUACUACUUGAAUCUCCACGGCGAUGUCCUCAUCAAUCGUCUCUACUGCGACGACGUUGGACGGUAUAAAGAGAAAAAGGAAGAAGUGGCAGAGACGGAGGUUGAUCCUUAAUUAUAUUCUCCAUCUUUGGCAAAAAGCAAGACCUCUCCACCACUCUCCUCUCUCUCACCUAAGGCUGCUUGAGGACCUAGGCUGUCAACUAAUUCCUUGCCAUCUCAAAUUUUCAGAAAGUAGCUUUUUUGUACUUUUUUGCAGCAUGAUGACAAUCACAUUCACAGAUUUCUCUGUGUCUCUAUGGGCGAUGUUGUGCAAGUCAACAGUUGGGUAGCUACGUCUGGAAAGAAUGGUAUGCGGCGUGAUUGGAUUGUCCAUGACUGCAAAACAGGGGACAUUCUAACAAGAGCUUCCAGUGUCUGAGUGAUGAUGAAUAAAGAGACAUGGAGGUUAUCUAAGAUACCAGAUGAAGUUAGAGUGGAAAUAGGUCCUUAUUUUGUGGAUUCACCUCUUGUUCUGGACGAGGACAGCAGAAAAUUACCAAAGCUUAAUGAAAACACCAUAGAUUAUAUUCGUAUUGGUUUAACUGUAAGUUAAAGAAUUUGAUGGUCACGAUUAUUUGCCUCUGUUAUGCAGCAUAUGACUGCUUUGUGCUGCUCGAACUUUGGUUUGUUGAUAUGAUUUGUGCAUUUUGAAUUGAUCCACCUAAACGGUGUGAUUUAGAUGUCAACCUGCAUGUUAAUAAUGUGAAAUACGUUGGCUGGAUUGUUGAGGUAAAUCUCUUUUCUUUCUUUUGAUGCUUUAUCUAUUUGAUUUCUCUGGUUAUUAACUUUAUUACCUGUCCCAUGAAAUAUGGUUUGUGAUGCCUAUUGGAUGCUCUGUUCAAACCUAAUAUCAUGCUCUCUGGCCAGCCUCUUCUUGGUCAGCCAGUAAUGGUUAAACCAUCUGAAGCUGAAAAAAAUCUGGUUAAAUUAAAAAGGAUCAUAUCAUUGGAUUGUUAGCUCAAUUGAUGGUGCGAUAGGGCUAUUUAAGUGUUGAAUAAACUUUUAAAUGUGAUGAGACCAUAAAGAAAGGAUUGGUUUUCCCUCAGCUGAUGAUUUUUCUUUAGUUUUUCAUGUAUGAAUGUCUAAGUUGAUUGGUUUACUUUUUGGGUUGAAAAUUUAGCCCUAAAUCUGGAUGCUUUUAACAUAAUGCAUCUGACCUUACUAAAUGAUAAAAGUGUUCUUUUUUUUAUUAUAUAUAUAUAUAUAUCUUUUCUGAAUCCCAGAUUAGGAACGAAAAACGGACCUUAGAAAUUGGUUUGGUUGGAGAUAGAGUAGGAAAAUGCCUGUCACUCGUGCGUAAGUUCCAAGUUCCAUAUUUUCCCCCUCUGUGCAUAAUGAUGAAUUCAAACAUAAUUUCAUGAUGGGGUAACUGUUUAUGCUAUGGAGAUUCACAAGUACAUAAAAGAAAAUUAUCUUAUUUUGAAGUAAAAUAUGGCUUGAUUCCAUUAGUUCUAAAAUUUCAUGUUUUAUGUGCACUAGCAGAGCAUAUUUUGAAAGGCUCUUGGAAAUUUGAUGUUGUUAGUUAGAAUAUAUAUUCCAAUAAUGUGGUCAUACAUUACAACACAAGUUCAUCAUAUAACUUUGGCAACAUCACUCUCCUCAAAACAAUUUUUGUAUCCCAGGGACUGAGUGUUAAAGUCCUUGUUGUUUUUUAGGUAGAAUUAAAUUUUCAAAAUUGACAUUGAAAAUAUUUGAGAAAAACUCUGUUCUUACAUAAUGUUGAUACACAAAUGAAGACCAAAAUAAUACAGUAGUGUAUUUUUCGAAAAUUUUAAACCACGAUGAUGGAAUUUUUGUUUUGAAGUGAUACGAUCAAAAGAUCUAUCAUAUCAUUGUGUAAUAAUUUUCUAUAUGAAAAUUUUACUGAGUAAUGCUAGAAUGAUCAGUUUUGUAUAUAAAUUUACUUGACAUUUGAUGAAAAAAAAGUACUGUUAUACAAAUAAAACUACAUAGAAAAUCAAUACACAUGUAAUCAGGUGGCAACUACUCAGCUUAUCAUUACAACAAAAGACUGUUGAAUUUUUAAGAUUUCCAGAGAAACAUUAUUGAGGUUGUAAAUUCUGUAUAAAAUUUAUGUCAAAACAUCAAGAUUUAGCUUGAAGUGUUUCUUUUUGUUGACAGGGGCACACACCAUAGGGAUUUCUCACUGUACAAGCUUCACCAUAGGGAUUUCUUCUAGCUAUUGCCGCUUUUUUAGGUGCCUUAAUACAUACAUUGGGUAGCCUUGUCCCUAUGAUAGGAGUAAGUGGAUUUGCUACAGCUGCAAUUGUAACUGCAACUGCUAUAGGAACUGUUGUCGGUAGUUUUAGAUAAUCUCUUAAUAGUUGUCGAUAUGUUUAGAAAGUUAGAUAUGCAUAGUUUUGGAUGAUUUAAACUUUUUGUACAGUUUAGAACUUAAGAAUAUAGUUUUCGAAUGCUUGGAAUGUAUAGACAAUUGUUGAAUGUUCAUAAUUUAUGGAUAUAGUUUCUUUUUGAUGUUUCAAACAAUA